rnacentral:rRNA from 1 species
AGAGUUUGAUCCUGGCUCAGAAUCAACGCUGGCGGCGUGCCUAACACAUGCAAGUCGAACGCGAAAGCCCGCAAGGGUAAGUAGAGUGGCGCACGGGUGAGUAACACGUGGACAACCUGCCUUCGAGUGGGGAAUAACCUUCCGAAAGGAGGGCUAAUACCGCAUAACACCUUGGAACACAAGUUCUGGGGUUGAAAAGAGCAAUUUGCUCGAAGAGGGGUCCGCGCCUGAUUAGCUAGUUGGUGAGGUAACGGCUCACCAAGGCUUCGAUCAGUAGCCGUCCUGAGAGGGAGCACGGCCACACUGGAACUGAGACACGGUCCAGACUCCUACGGGAGGCAGCAGUGGGGAAUUUUUGGCAAUGGGCGAAAGCCUGACCAAGCAACGCCGCGUGGGUGAUGAAGUAUCUUGGUACGUAAAACCCUUUCGGCAGGGACGAACCUAAUGACGGUACCUGCGAAGAGCC